GAUGAACGCUGGCGGCGUGCCUAAUACAUGCAAGUCGAGCGAACGGACGAGAAGCUUGCUUCUCUGAUGUUAGCGGCGGACGGGUGAGUAACACGUGGAUAACCUACCUAUAAGACUGGGAUAACUUCGGGAAACCGGAGCUAAUACCGGAUAAUAUUUUGAACCGCAUGGUUCAAAAGUGAAAGACGGUCUUGCUGUCACUUAUAGAUGGAUCCGCGCUGCAUUAGCUAGUUGGUAAGGUAACGGCUUACCAAGGCAACGAUGCAUAGCCGACCUGAGAGGGUGAUCGGCCACACUGGAACUGAGACACGGUCCAGACUCCUACGGGAGGCAGCAGUAGGGAAUCUUCCGCAAUGGGCGAAAGCCGGACGGAGCAACGCCGCGUGAGUGAUGAAGGUCUUCGGAUCGUAAAACUCUGUGAUUAGGGAAGAACAUAUGUGUAAGUAACUGUGCACAUCGUGACGGUACCUAAUCAGAAAGCCACGGCUAACUACGUG
rnacentral:rRNA from 1 species